rnacentral:rRNA from 1 species
UAAGGACUGAACCAGCAAUUUGGAGGAAUGAAAAACGAAUAAGUCGUCUAAAGUUCUAGAUAAAAAAUUUAUAAUGACUAAUUUUUAUCUAUAAGUCUUGACCAAAUUACGUGCCAGCAGUCGCGGUAAUACGUAGAAGACAAGUGUUAUUCAUCUUUAACAGGUUUAAAGGGUACCUAGACGGAAAAUCAAGCCAUAGUAGGGACUAGUUUUCUAGAGUUUUAUGUGUGAAGAUCGAAUUACCUGAAGAGCAAUAAAAUGCAUUGACACAGGGAAGACGGGUAGCAGCGAAGGCAAUCUUCUAUGUAGAAACUGACGUUGAGGGACGAAGCCUUGGGGAGCGAGAAGGAUUAGAUACCCUAGUAGUCCUUGGAGAAAAUUAUGAGUGCCAUAGACUAGAUACUAGUUUAUAAAUGAAAGUGUAAGCAUUCCACCUCAUGAGUAAAGCGGCAACGCCGAAAUUGAAAUCAUUAGACCGUAUCUGAAACCAGUAGUGAAGUAUGUUAUUUAAUUCGAUGGUCCGCGAAUAACCUUACCACCUCUUGAAUAUUUUUACAAGCGCUGCACGGCUGUCUUCAGUUAAUGUCGUGAGAUUUUGGUUAGUUCCAUUAAUUAACGAAAACCCAUGUUUUAUUUAUAUAUAUAAAGCAGUUCACCGUUAUAUUGGAUAAGAUAAACGGGAUCAAGACAAGUCAUCAUGGCCUUAAUGAGUGUGGGCUAUAGACGUGCCACAUAUGCCUCUACAAAGGGAAGCGAUAUUGUGAAAUGGAGCUAAUCCUUAAAAUUGGACAUAACUAUUCGUGGAUUGAG